rnacentral:rRNA from 1 species
GACGAACGCUGGCGGCGUGCUUAACACAUGCAAGUCGAACGGAAAGGCCCUGCUUUUGUGGGGUGCUCGAGUGGCGAACGGGUGAGUAACACGUGAGUAACCUGCCCUUGACUUUGGGAUAACUUCAGGAAACUGGGGCUAAUACCGGAUAGGAGCUCCUGCUGCAUGGUGGGGGUUGGAAAGUUUCGGCGGUUGGGGAUGGACUCGCGGCUUAUCAGCUUGUUGGUGGGGUAGUGGCUUACCAAGGCUUUGACGGGUAGCCGGCCUGAGAGGGUGACCGGCCACAUUGGGACUGAGAUACGGCCCAGACUCCUACGGGAGGCAGCAGUGGGGAAUAUUGCACAAUGGGCGGAAGCCUGAUGCAGCAACGCCGCGUGCGGGAUGACGGCCUUCGGGUUGUAAACCGCUUUCGCCUGUGACGAAGCGUGAGUGACGGUAAUGGGUAAAGAAGCACCGGCUAACUACGUGCCAGCAGCCGCGGUGAUACGUAGGGUGCGAGCGUUGUCCGGAUUUAUUGGGCGUAAAGGGCUCGUAGGUGGUUGAUCGCGUCGGAAGUGUAAUCUUGGGGCUUAACCCUGAGCGUGCUUUCGAUACGGGUUGACUUGAGGAAGGUAGGGGAGAAUGGAAUUCCUGGUGGAGCGGUGGAAUGCGCAGAUAUCAGGAGGAACACCAGUGGCGAAGGCGGUUCUCUGGGCCUUUCCUGACGCUGAGGAACGAAAGCGUGGGGAGCGAACAGGCUUAGAUACCCUGGUAGUCCACGCUGUAAACGGUGGGUACUAGGUGUGGGGUCCAUUCCACGGGUUCCGUGCCGUAGCUAACGCUUUAAGUACCCCGCCUGGGGAGUACGGCCGCAAGGCUAAAACUCAAAGGAAUUGACGGGGCCCCGCACAAGCGGCGGAGCAUGCGGAUUAAUUCGAUGCAACGCGUAGAACCUUACCUGGGUUUGACAUGGAUCGGGAGCGCUCAGAGAUGGGUGUGCCUCUUUUGGGGUCGGUUCACAGGUGGUGCAUGGCUGUCGUCAGCUCGUGUCGUGAGAUGUUGGGUUAAGUCCCGCAACGAGCGCAACCCUUGUUCACUGUUGCCAGCACGUUAUGGUGGGGACUCAGUGGAGACCGCCGGGGUCAACUCGGAGGAAGGUGGGGAUGACGUCAAGUCAUCAUGCCCCUUAUGUCCAGGGCUUCACGCAUGCUACAAUGGCUGGUACAGAGAGUGGCGAGCCUGUGAGGGUGAGCGAAUCUCGGAAAGCCGGUCUCAGUUCGGAUUGGGGUCUGCAACUCGACCUCAUGAAGUCGGGGUCGCUAGUAAUCGCAGAUCAGCAACGCUGCGGUGAAUACGUUCCCGGGGCU